UUAUCUUUAAUAAAACAGCAUUCCCUGAGCUCAAAGAACACUCGGCUUUCUACAGAUGAUGAGCAUGGCUAUUUAUAAUAACUAUUUAUCUGAAGUUGUGAUGAAGAACACAGCUGAGGCUGUUAUAAUUCCACUGAAAGGUGGCAUCUCCUCCCUGAAUGAAGUCUAUCAGGCUCUUAUUGAGGCAGAUGUAGAUCCUGUAACUGGGAAAUGCUCCAACUACGACUACAUCAGACAGCAGAUAGUGCAGUCUCAUCAGUUCCUGGAGCAGUCAGAACAGGCAGCUAGUUCAGGGUUACAGAGUCUGGA